UGGCUGCACUGGACUUUAUCUUACCUA
rnacentral:piRNA from 1 species